rnacentral:ncRNA from 2 species
AAUGUCGGGCUGCUUUCAGGUUCCGAGGGAUAAAGCCUUCGGUUAAACGGGAAGUCGGUGAGGUUUAAAACCAAGUCCGACGCUGCCCCCGCAACGGUAAAUAAGUUAAGAAUCAUCAUAAGGUCACUGUGUUAAACAUGGGAAGACGAUGAUUCGGGUCAAUCCCACUUAUAAGCCCGGAGACCGGCCUAAAGCGAUUCGGCGCA